GAUGAACGCUAGCUACAGGCUUAACACAUGCAAGUCGAGGGGCAGCAUGAACUUAGCUUGCUAAGUUUGAUGGCGACCGGCGCACGGGUGAGUAACACGUAUCCAACCUGCCGAUGACUCGGGGAUAGCCUUUCGAAAGAAAGAUUAAUACCCGAUGGCAUAGUUCUUCCGCAUGGUAGAACUAUUAAAGAAUUUCGGUCAUCGAUGGGGAUGCGUUCCAUUAGCUUGUUGGCGGGGUAACGGCCCACCAAACCGACGAUGGAUAGGGGUUCUGAGAGGAAGGUCCCCCACAUUGGUACUGAGACACGGACCAA
rnacentral:rRNA from 1 species